UCAUGGCUGCCAUCCCUUCCCAGAGCCGUCUGCCAGCAACUGGUCGAGAGACUGUCGAGCGGUACACGCGUAUGGACGUUCUUGG
rnacentral:ribozyme from 1 species